GAAGGAUCAUUAAAGAGUAAGGGUGCUCAGCGCCCGACCUCCAACCCUUUGUUGUUAAAACUACCUUGUUGCUUUGGCGGGACCGCUCGGUCUCGAGCCGCUGGGGAUUCGUCCCAGGCGAGCGCCCGCCAGAGUUAAACCAAACUCUUGUUAUUAAACCGGUCGUCUGAGUUAAAAUUUUGAAUAAAUCAAAACUUUCAACAACGGAUCUCUUGGUUCUCGCAUCGAUGAAGAACGCAGCGAAAUGCGAUAAGUAAUGUGAAUUGCAGAAUUCAGUGAAUCAUCGAAUCUUUGAACGCACAUUGCGCCCCUUGGUAUUCCGAGGGGCAUGCCUGUUCGAGCGUCAUUACACCACUCAAGCUAUGCUUGGUAUUGGGUGCCGUCCUUAGUUGGGCGCGCCUUAAAGACCUCGGCGAGGCCUCACCGGCUUUAGGCGUAGUAGAAUUUAUUCGAACGUCUGUCAAAGGAGAGGACUUCUGCCGACUGAAACCUUUUAUUUUUCUAGGUUGACCUCGGAUCAGGUAGGGAUACCCGCUGAACUUAAGCAU
rnacentral:misc_RNA from 1 species